AAAGAAUGGCUCUGCUAUCACUUAUCGAUGGCCGUUGCGGUGGCAUUAACCUAAGUUGGCGAGGUAACGGCUCACCAAGGUGAUGAUGCAUAGCCCGACCCCUGAGAGGGUAAUCGGCCACAUUGGGACUGAGACACGGCCCAAACUCCUACGGGAGGCAGCAGUAGGGAAUCUUCCGCAAUGGACGCAAGUCUGACGGAGCAACGCCGCGUGAGUGAAGAAGGUUUUCGGAUCGUAAAACUCUGUUGUAAGAGAAGAACAAAUUGUAGAGUAACUGCUACAGUCUUGACGGUAUCUUACCAGAAAGCCACGGCUAACUACGUGCCAGCAGCCGCGGUAAU
rnacentral:rRNA from 1 species